UGUGAGCUGGUUCUCACACACGCUCGCGCACACACAAAGUUGCAAGUGCAGUUGCUGUCAAUCAUUCGUGCGGCUGGAGGAGCGAGCUGUUGCAGCAGAAGGUGCUUCAGAAUCCAUCGGACUUCAGCACCAUCAACUUCAUCGGAGCAAUUGUUGCUAUGCUUGUAUGUUCUGUUGAUGGACACGACACAAGAAGCAAAAUUAGAAAUGAAGGCUGCUGAUUUGAAAGAAGAAGUGGCUAAGAUCCUCAACGAGGCUCCUGAGUCCAGGAGGCGACUUGUGGAAAACUUCAACAACUUAAGCGAGGUGGCGGACUACUGCUGCCACAACUAUGUCCAGUUGGGGGACGACGGGUCCAAAGCGUUGGAGGAGACCAAGUCGCUGACAGCCCAAUCACUGGCCAGCAUCGCCUACCAGAUUAACACGUUAGCUACAAGCGUGCUAAAUCUACUAGAUGCGCAGAGCCAGCAGCUUGGCCACAUGGAGUCAGCCAUCAACCUCAUUGGGCAAACAGUGGAGAUGCACCGCGAGAAAGUAUCCCGCAGAGACAUUGGAAGCUUUACGGCGGUACGGCGGGUCCCCCGGGGGCCCAAAAUCUCCACACCACUUGUGCCACCGCAGCCUCGCCCUCCUUACAGCCGUCGGCCAAUCAGCUAUCAGGAGCUGGACGGCUUGGGUCAUGGCGUCAAGAUGACUGGGAAAGCGGGUGUGGAAGACGGAAGCAUCCGGAAGCAGGGCUCAUUCAUCAGGUCAAGCAAAGCAACAGGACAAGGCCUUAAGUCUGCAGUGGCGCCCUCUGGUGGCAGCUCCACUUUUGGGAAAGCUGUGGCUCCGCCCACCAUCCCUUGCCCACCUGAAAGUGAUGUCAUCACCACGCCUCUUAAGGCUGCCCCACCGCCUCCACCAGAUUCAUCGGAGGUGCUCAUGUCUCCGCCCCCUACGCCAGAUUCCUUCGAAUUUCCCCCGGCUCCGCCCCUUCCGCUGGAGUCUACAGGACUUCUGGCUCCUCCCCCUCCCCCUCCUCCUCCUCCUUCAGAGACUCUACCCACCACUAUUGUUCUCCCACUGACUCCACCCCCCUGUUUGGAGACAGUGCUGGAGGAGAGCAGCCUCCCCCCGCCGUCUCCUCCACCCCCAGACCUCGACCACGCUUUUCCUCCGCCAUCUAAUGAAGAGCCUGAAGUUCCGGUCCCUCUCCCAACAACCCAGGAAGUAGACGGUAUCACGCACAUGUACACAGGGAUUUUUAGUGACCAUGGAAAGGCGACCAGAUAUUUCCUAUCAUGCAAAACGGAUUUUCCCUCUUCUUGUCUUCUGCAAUUGCUCGCUUGCGGUCGCAGGCGGGGGGGCCACACGGCCGCCCCCCGCCCGUUCCGUGUCGCUGAGGGUCCGCUCGGGCCCCGCCUCCCGCCGACACGGACGGAACCUCUUUCCGCCCGCCCGCCUUUCUGUCCGCCCGCCGGCGCUCAUUCCCCCGCCUCCCGCCUAUCCGGCACCUCCUCAGCCUUCCGCCUCUUCCUGGCCUGAGCUGGGCCUGCCUGCUCGUCUGGAGCAUCUUGGUAAGAAGUGCUCCAGUUGCAAACUACGCUUCAAUCACACCUUCUCUUGAGCUCCUAUCUUCAUUUACCGCUACCGUCGCACGUGAACUUAAGCGUUGAAUUGUCCUGAAGCCCCGCCCCCUCCGUCCCCAUCGGCCGCUGCCAGAUGUCACUCACGGGUCCCUCGUCUGUUCUGUCAGAUCUGGAGCUGCCGGCCCUCCCGCCACCGCCGCCGCCGCCCCCGAUGGUUUACGAGACGCCAUCUGAGGAACUCAGUGGUGCUCCCCUGCAUUCACUAUAAAAAGUGACAGGCAGAACCCCACUAGAUGGCAACUGUAUGCCUCUGUUGCAAUAUGGCCGCCACAACGACAAUUGGUACGAGGGAGUCUUGGGCCACUGGCAGGGAUUCUUCAAUCAUAUCCGAUCUUCUGGAUGGGCACAAGUAAAGAUCGGCUCGUACUGCAUCCUUGCCUCCGUGUGUUAUUGUUAGAGCAAUCAAUAAGCAACCCACUAUAAGUGACAACACUACAAUAGUUUGUCAGAGCAUAAAGCCACAAUAAUGACGACCGUUGUAUGACGGGCGUUUGGUGACGAAAGGCUCGAGGUCUUUAUUUGAAUGCUCACAUUUAAAGAUUCCUUUUGAUACACGAGGUAGUGUACAAUUUGUUAUGUUGUGGCCCGCUUCAUCGCCGAACAAACAGCAACUUCAUGACGCCUUCCCAGCCGAUGUUGUAGGUAAGAAAUUGUCGGGGUCCAAAGUCAGGACUAUAAGCACUGGCGUAGCCAAGCCCGGGCGACCCGGGCGGCGCCCCGGUUAGGACUCCCUGCACCCCGGUUGAAAAAAAUCUAGCUUUUUCGAUUCUUCAUUUUCAUGCUGUUUUUUUCUUUCGGUCUUGCGCGAAUGUGCUUGCGCUAUUCUAUGUGCGCGAUGUUAUCCAUUCACCGUUUGCCUCUCGGACCCGGAUGUUGUCUUAGCGAUCAGCGAACGGCGUGGGUGUUAUUGAACUAAAAUACUGAAUUCAGAAACUGAUCAUUCUAAUUAGCACUCCUUCCCUCUUGGUAGUGACUGUUUUCUUAGAAUGUAUAUUACUAAAUCAACCCAAGGUGGACUAUAUUUUUGGCUCAUGUAUUUUUCAUAUUCAUUACAGCAGUGUAUUUGUUAUUCAUUGUAGUUAUUGAAGUAAAAUACUGAAUCUUAGUUAUGAAUCUCUCUUAUGUUGCCAGGAUUUCAUUAUGCUAUACCACUCCAAUAUGAAUGGAUGUUGUAACUGCUGAUCUAUGUUCAAUAAACAAGGUUGUACUUCUAAGAAA